UACGGAGGGGGGCUAGUGUUGUUCGGAAUUACUGGGCGUAAAGGGCUCGUAGGCGGCCAACUAAGUCAGACGUGAAAUCCCUCGGCUUAACCGGGGAACUGCGUCUGAUACUGGAUGGCUAGAGGUUGGGAGAGGGAUGCGGAAUUCCAGGUGUAGCGGUGAAAUGCGUAGAUAUCAGGAGGAACACCGGUGGCGAAGGCGGAUCUCUGGGCCGUAACUGACGCUGAGGAGCGAAAGCAUGGGUAGCGAACAGG
rnacentral:rRNA from 1 species